UCGCCUGUUUAUCAAAAACAUCGCCUCUUGCAAAAUCAAUGAAUAAGAGGUCCCGCCUGCCCUGUGACUAUAAGUUUAACGGCCGCGGUAUUUUGACCGUGCGAAGGUAGCGCAAUCACUUGUCUUUUAAAUGGAGACCUGUAUGAAUGGCAUAACGAGGGCUUAGCUGUCUCCUCUUUCAAGUCAAUGAAAUUGAUCUCCCCGUGCAGAAGCGGGGAUACCUCCAUAAGACGAGAAGACCCUAUGAAGCUUUAGACACCAAGACAGACCAUGUUAAGCACCCCUAGAUAAAGGACCGAACCGAAUGAGCCCUGUCCCAAUGUCUUUGGUUGGGGCGACCGCGGGGAAAUACAAAACCCCCACGUGGAACGAGAGCACCCCCUCUCACAACCAAGAGCUCCCGCUCUAAUAAACAGAACUUCUGACCAAUUAGAUCCGGCAAAGCCGAUCAACGGACCGAGUUACCCUAGGGAUAACAGCGCAAUCCCCUUUUAGAGACCAUAUCGACAAGGGGGUUUACGACCUCGAUGUUGGAUCAGGACAUCCUAAUGGUGCAGCCGCUAUUAAGGGUUCGUUUGUUCAACGAUUAAAGUCCUACGUGAUCUGAGUUCAGACCGGA
rnacentral:rRNA from 1 species